UACGGAGGGUGCAAGCGUUAUCCGGAUUCACUGGGUUUAAAGGGUGCGUAGGUGGGCAGGUAAGUCAGUGGUGAAAUCUCCGUGCUUAACAUGGAAACUGCCAUUGAUACUAUGUUUCUUGAAUUUUCCGGAGGUAAGCGGAAUAUGUCAUGUAGCGGUGAAAUGCUUAGAUAUGACAUAGAACACCAAUUGCGAAGGCAGCUUACUACAGGGAUAUUGACACUGAGGCACGAAAGCGUGGGGAUCAAACAGG
rnacentral:rRNA from 1 species